rnacentral:rRNA from 1 species
UUCCCUAGUAUGGCGAAUGAAGAGGGAAAAGCCCAAAUUUGUAAUCUGGCUCUUUCAGAGUCCGAGUUGUAAUUUUAAGAACUGUCUUCAGUGCUGGACCAUGUACAAGUCUGUUGAAAAGCAGCAUCAUAGAAGGUGAUAAUCCUGUUCAUGAUAUGGACUACCAGUGCAAUAUGAUACAGUCUCUAAGAGUCGAGUUGUUUGGGAAUGCAGCUCAAAGUGGGUGGUAAAUUCCAUCUAAGGCUAAAUAUUGAUGAGAGACCGAUAGCAAACAAGUACCGUGAGGGAAAGAUGAAAAGAACUUUGGAAAGAGAGUUAACAGUACGUGAAAUUGUUAAAAGGGAAACAAUUGAAGUUAGACUUGUUAUUAUUAGUUCAACCUUUUUUUAAAGGAGUAUUCUAGUGAUUAACAGACCAACAUCAAUUUUUGGGUGUUGGAGAAGGGUUUAAGGAAAUGUAGCAGCCUCUGGCUGUGUUAUAGUCCUGAGCUUUGAUACAAUGCUUAAGAUUGAGGAAUGCAGUAAGCCCUUUUUUGGGUGGAGCAAAUCAUUGUUCUUCUUACUGAGGAUGUUGGUGCAAUAGCUUUAAAUGACCCGUCUUGAAACACGGACCAAGGAGUCUAACAUGCUUGCGAGUAUUUGGGUGUUUGAAACCCUUAUGCAUAAUGAAAGUAAAUGUAAAUGGGAUCUUUUUUAAGUGCACCAUUGACCAGUCCAGAUAAUUUAUAUGAUGGUACUGAGUAAGAGCAAGUAUGUUGGGACCCGAAAGAUGGUGAACUAUGCCUGAAUAGGGUGAAGCCAGAGGAAACUCUGGUGGAAGCUCGUAGCGGUUCUGACGUGCAAAUCGAUCGUCAAAUUUGGGUAUAGCGGCGAAAGACUAAUCGAACCAUCUAGUAGCUGGUUCCUGCCGAAUUUCCCUCAGGAUAGCAAAGACUAUAUCAGUUUAUGAGGUAAAGCGA